CGAUGAUGAUGAUGAUGAUGAUGAUGAUGAUGAUGACGAUGAUGAUGAUGACGAUGAUGAUGAUGAUGAUCAUCAUCAUCAUCAUCAUCAUGAUGA
rnacentral:pre_miRNA from 1 species